rnacentral:lncRNA from 1 species
ACUUAUGUGCCUGCGUUAGAUUAAGCAAGGAAUUAAGCCAUGAGCAAUGAAGAAACCAGCAAAAGCGACGUCGUCGUGCUUUGGAGGAAUCCCCACGUCUUUGAUUUUCUCGUAGUGAUGGCAGCCAGAAUUUUUCUCUUGGUCGGGGGAUUCAAAAUCCAGUCUUUAGCAGCCAUUCAAAAUAUUGGUGGCUUCAAUAUCAGCUUUGGGAUUCUCUUUAAUUUUUAAUUUUCUUUUUCUUCUUUUAUCCUCUUCAGAUGGGUUUUUUUUUUUCAGAUAAUUCUCUUACUUAAUCCCGAUUCCUGAUAAGGGUGAGUCCGUAGUUUUCAUAUUUUUAAUGGAUAUUGUAUGAACUUCUCAAUUUCAUCUCGUUAAAAAAAUAUAUAUAGAGAGAGAGGGAAGAAAUGAAACUGUGCGAUUGCUGAAUUGUCUGUUUGGAGGGUGAUUUCGUGAUUUGAUGGGUUUUUUUUAGCGUGUUACGUUGGAAAAUAUCUCAUGAUCAUUAGCUGGGUAUAUGUGUAGGACUGGCUGCGAUUCUCCGCUUUAGUUUUCUGUUUGGUUGAUCAGAAAGUAGAAGUUAUGUGUUUGCUCGAUUGCCUCUUUGAAGGGUGAUUUCAUAAUUAGAUAUGUUUUAACGUGUUAUGCUGGUUAAUAUGUCAUGAUCUUGGACUGGCUACCUAUGUGGGACUGGCUGCAAUUCUCUGGUUUGGAUUUCUGUUUGAUUUCCUGCAAAAUGAAAGUUCUGGGUUUUGCCGAAUUGCCUCUUUGAAGGGCGACUUUAUGUGUUUAGUGUGCUAUGGUAGAUUUAUCUCAUGAUCAUGAACUUGGUAUCUUUGUAGGACUAGCUGCAAUACCAUGAUCUGAUUUCAUGUUUGGUUGCUCAGAAAAUUAUUGAUUUCUUUUCUUUUCUUUUCUUUUUUGUGNNNN